AGAGUUUGAUCCUGGCUCAGGACGAACGCUGGCGGCGUGCCUAACACAUGCAAGUCGAGCGGAGAUUGGCAGAUGGUAACUGAAGCUAAUUUUAGCGGCGGACGGGUGAGUAACACGUGGGCAACCUGCCUUAGAGUGGGGGAUAACACCGGGAAAUCGGUGCUAAUACCGCAUAACAUACACACAUCACAUGGUGAGUGUAUCAAAGGAGAAAUCCGCUUUGAGAUGGGCCCGCGGCUGAUUAGCUAGUUGGUAAGGUAAUGGCUUACCAAGGCGACGAUCAGUAGCCGGCCUGAGAGGGUGACCGGCCACACUGGAACUGAGACACGGUCCAGACUCCUACGGGAGGCAGCAGUGGGGAAUAUUGCGCAAUGGGGGAAACCCUGACGCAGCAACGCCGCGUGGAGGAAGAAGGUUUUCGGAUUGUAAACUCCUGUCUUCUGGGACGAUAAUGACGGUACCAGAGGAGGAAGCCACGGCUAACUACGUGCCAGCAGCCGCGGUAAUACGUAGGUGGCGAGCGUUGUCCGGAAUUACUGGGCGUAAAGGGCGCGUAGGCGGCUCUUUAAGUCAGAUGUGAAAGACCGGGGCUCAACCCCGGGGUUGCAUUUGAAACUGGAUUUCUUGAGGGCAGGAGAGGAAAGCAGAAUUCCUGGUGUAGCGGUGAAAUGCGUAGAAAUCAGGAGGAAUACCAGUGGCGAAGGCGGCUUUCUGGACUGUCCCUGACGCUGAGGUGCGAAAGCGUGGGUAGCAAACAGGAUUAGAUACCCUGGUAGUCCACGCCGUAAACGAUGGAUACUAGGUGUGGGAGGUAUCGACCCCUUCCGUGCCGCAGCUAACGCAAUAAGUAUCCCGCCUGGGGAGUACGAUCGCAAGGUUGAAACUCAAAGGAAUUGACGG
rnacentral:rRNA from 1 species